rnacentral:tRNA from 1 species
AAUUCAGUAGCUUAAAGAAAGAGUGUGGUUUUGAAGAAGCUAAGGUGAGUUUGUAAAAUUUUUGAAUUG